UUAUUCGAAACUAUAAACACGAUACAAUUGAGGCCCAAAUUGGCCCAUUUCCUUUACCCGCGUAGGCGUGUACGAUAUACAUCUCCAGCUCUCAUCUCGCCGCUUGUGAAUUAUGAAUUGCGAUCAAUCGUUGCGCGCGUGCGCAGCUGGGUAAUCGAACGGCAGCCCCCGCACGCUGUCGUUGAGCGGGGCGGCGUGGCGGAACCCGUACGCGCGGAGCACCUGGUCGUCCGCGAACCCCAGCGCGUGGCGCAUCCCGUCGUCGCAGCUCUCCCUCGAGUACAUCGGGUUCCGACCGCCGCUGCAGGGCUGGCAGCCGACGAAGUGCGUGAUGAGCGGCCGCCGCCACCCCACCUCCCCGCCACCGGCCGGCCCCGGUACGACGCCCCUCAAGGCCGCGUUUCGCGCCCCCGCGUAGCGCAGGUGCUCCUGCUCCGCGUGCCGCCGCCGGAGCCCCGGCGAGCGCCGCUCGACGGCCUCGUACCGCGCGGCGACGCCAUCGAGGCGGUCCACGACCUCCUUCCAGUAGCCCUGGAAGAAGUACUCCGUCUCGACGAAGGUCUUCUUCCCCGGCCUCUCCCAGUUGUUGAGGAGCAGGUACACGAGCGCGGACUGGUCGCACGCCACGUCGGAGUCCUUGUCGCUGAGCGUGGCUCUGAGCACCUCCCCCCACCGGGCGUGGUCCUCCGGGUACGCGGGGCCCAUGCGCGCCCACUCGUCCAUGAAGUCGAGCGACCACUGGCAGUUGCGGAUGAGGAACACGCCGGCGUUCAGCCCCAGCCACGACUUCCUCACGAAGAACUUGUCGGGCCAGCCAUACACGACGAAGUUGCGGCCGCCGUACUUGGCGAGGGGCAGGGAGAAGUCCAUGUCGGUGAAGACGGCGUCGGAGUCCACCCACCAGACCCACUCCGCGUCCGGGUGGGCGAGCAUGGCGGCGCGGACGAUGGGGAUCUUGGCCCAGUAGCCUCCCAUGGCCGGGUGCAGGAACUCCCUGUUGUAGAGCAGCUCGAUCCCGUGCAGGCGGCAGUAGUCGAGCUUGUUCUUGAGGAACCGCAGCAUGAGGUGGUCGCCCGCGCCGCCGGGGCACGGCUCCGGCUGCGACCCGGACACCAUCACCACGCGCUCCGGCGCGCUCCGGCGGCCGAGCCCGCGCGAGCGCAGCCACUCCGCGCGUUUGGCGUCCCAGCCGGUGAGGCGCCGGCCCGCCGCCACGGCGUACGACACCUCCGGGUCGUCGUAGAACGUGCGCGGCCCGUCCUCAGGGCCGGGAACGGGGACGGGGACGCGCAAGGCGACCAGGCCGCCGCGCCCGCCGGGGUCGAGGACCGACGCCGUGCCCACAAGCGCGAGCAGGGUCGCCGCGACGCCGGCCGCGAACACGACAACGUCGCGCGCGCGGCGGCGCGUCGCUGGCCCCCGCGUCCCUGCGCCGCCGUGGUGCUUGCUCCCCACCGAAGCGGAGACGCGGAGCGGAGCGGCCUCCGACGUGGCGACCAUUCCGUGUUACCGUUCGCGCGACGUGGGGCUAGCUCGCCUCGAUCGGCUCGUCGCCGGUGGUGCGGUGAUGCAUGGAGUAGGCCGCGCUUGGUGUGCGGACUGCGGACGUGUUUGUAGUCUCGUACGAGGAAAUUAAAGAGCAAGACGCCAAGAGUGCUGCUCCUGGGCUGGGACUGGGAGCCUGAGAGCGAUCACGCGAACGCGAGGCCGAGCACGACGGAGUCCAGGGUCCAGGCAUCCGCAGGCUGUUUUUUAAAGAAAGAAGAAGAAAAAAAGCGUCGGCAGGCUAUAGUCAUUAUUUUC
rnacentral:misc_RNA from 1 species